UUAAGCAUAUCAAUAAGCGGAGGAAAAGAAACUAACAAGGAUUCCCCUAGUAACUGCGAGUGAAGCGGGAAAAGCUCAAAUUUGAAAUCUGGCAGUCCCUGUGGCUGUCCGAGUUGUAAUUUAGAGAAGUGCUACCCGCGCUGGACCGUAUACAAGUCCUCUGGAAUGGGGCGUCAUAGAGGGUGAGAAUCCCGUCUUUGAUACGGACUACCAGUGCUUUGUGGUGUGCUCUCGAAGAGUCGAGUUGUUUGGGAAUGCAGCUCAAAAUGGGUGGUAAAUUCCAUCUAAAGCUAAAUACAGGCGAGAGACCGAUAGCGAACAAGUACCGUGAGGGAAAGAUGAAAAGAACUUUGGAAAGAGAGUUAAACAGUACGUGAAAUUGCUGAAAGGGAAACGCUUGAAGUCAGUCGCGUCGUCUUGGAAUCAACCUCGCUAUUGCUUGGUGUACUUCCUUGUCGAUGGGUCAGCAUCAGUUUCGAUCGUUGGAUAAAGGUCAUCGGAAUGUGGCACCCUCGGGUGUGUUAUAGCCUUUGAUUGUAUACAGCGGUUGGGACUGAGGUACUCAGCACGCCGCAAGGCCGGGUUUCGACCACGUAACGUGCUUAGGAUGCUGGCAUAAUGGCUUUAAUCGACCCGUCUUGAAACACGGACCAAGGAGUCUAACAUGCCUGCGAGU
rnacentral:rRNA from 2 species